AUCUCUUUCAUGAUAUGAUCCGGUGAGACAGAACUGUGAAAGAGGUUCCAGUAUAUAGUUGUGGGGCCGAUCAGAAUUCGUUUAUGCACUUUUUGAUUUUUGUUAUCAAACAAUUUUUAAUUUUUUGUAUUUCUUUCAGUUAGACAGUUUGAUUUGUUAUAAUUACUACAGCAUAUGAGUAGAUAUUAUUGUUGCGAUGUAUGGAUAUUUGAUUUUAGUUUUAUCAUUUUAACGAGAAUUUAAGAAA